rnacentral:rRNA from 1 species
UACGAAGGGGGCUAGCGUUGCUCGGAAUCGCUGGGCGUAAAGCGCACGUAGGCGGAUUGCUAAGUCAGGGGUGAAAUCCUGGAGCUCAACUCCAGAACUGCCUUUGAUACUGGCGAUCUCGAGUCCGGGAGAGGUGAGUGGAACUGCGAGUGUAGAGGUGAAAUUCGUAGAUAUUCGCAAGAACACCAGUGGCGAAGGCGGCUCACUGGCCCGGUACGGACGCUGAGGUGCGAAAGCGGGGGGAGCAAACAGG